rnacentral:tRNA from 1 species
UGCCUGAUGGUGUAAUGGUAGCACGAGUGACUCUGGAUCACUUGGUCGAGGUUCGAACCCUCGUCGGGCAA